rnacentral:rRNA from 1 species
CCUACGGGGGGCUGCAGUGGGGAAUAUUGCACAAUGGGCGCAAGCCUGAUGCAGCCAUGCCGCGUGUGUGAAGAAGGCCUUCGGGUUGUAAAGCACUUUCAGCGGGGAGGAAGGCGGUGAGGUUAAUAACCUCAUCGAUUGACGUUACCCGCAGAAGAAGCACCGGCUAACUCCGUGCCAGCAGCCGCGGUAAUACGGAGGGUGCAAGCGUUAAUCGGAAUUACUGGGCGUAAAGCGCACGCAGGCGGUCUGUCAAGUCGGAUGUGAAAUCCCCGGGCUCAGCCUGGGAACUGCAUUCGAAACUGGCAGGCUAGAGUCUUGUAGAGGGGGGUAGAAUUCCAGGUGUAGCGGUGAAAUGCGUAGAGAUCUGGAGGAAUACCGGUGGCGAAGGCGGCCCCCUGGACAAAGACUGACGCUCAGGUGCGAAAGCGUGGGGAGCAAACAGGAUUAGAUACCCUAGUAGUC